UUCUGGCUCAGGAUGAACGCUGGCGGCGUGCUUAACACAUGCAAGUCGAACGAAGCCAAAAGGAAGCUUGCUUCUUGAAGCUUAGUGGCGGACGGGUGAGUAACGCGUGAGGAACCUGCCCUUCAGUGGGGAAUAACAGCCGGAAACGACUGCUAAUACCGCAUAACGUCAUCGGACCGCAUGAUCUGAUGACCAAAGGAUUUAUUCGCUGAAGGAUGGCCUCGCGUCCGAUUAGGCAGUUGGUGAGGUAACGGCCCACCAAACCUACGAUCGGUAGCCGAACUGAGAGGUUGAUCGGCCACAUUGGGACUGAGACACGGCCCAGACUCCUACGGGAGGCAGCAGUGGGGAAUAUUGGGCAAUGGGCGAAAGCCUGACCCAGCAACGCCGCGUGAAGGAAGACGGUCUUCGGAUUGUAAACUUCUUUGAUUGGGGAAGAACACAAUGACCUACCCAAAGAACAAGUCACGGCUAACUACGUGCCAGCCGCUGC
rnacentral:rRNA from 1 species